ACUUAAAUAGCUUAUAUGAGAGCGUAGUAUUGAAGAUACUAAGGAAAACUAGGUUUUUUAAGUA
rnacentral:tRNA from 1 species